rnacentral:rRNA from 1 species
GACCGCGUAUGAAGUACGUUUCACCUCGGGUGACAGGGAGACAGGUGGUGGCAUGGUUGUCGUCAGCUCGUGUCGUGAGAUGUUGGGUUAAGUCCCGCAACGAGCGCAACCCCUACGUUUAGUUGCUAACGCGUGAAGGCGAGCACUCUAGACGAACUGCCGUUGACAAAACGGAGGAAGUGGGGAUGACGUCAAAUCAUCAUGCCCCUUAUGUUCUGGGCUACACACGUGCUACAAUGGCCGGUACAGACGGACGCAAAGCCGCGAGGUGGAGCAAAUCCUAAAAAGCCGGUCUCAGUUCGGAUUGCAGGCUGCAAUUCGCCUGCAUGAAGUCGGAAUCGCUAGUAAUCGCAGGUCAGCAUACUGCGGUGAAUACGUUCCCGGGCCUU